rnacentral:rRNA from 1 species
UACAGAGGGUGCGAGCGUUAAUCGGAAUUACUGGGCGUAAAGCGUGCGCAGGCGGUUAUUUUAAGUCAGGUGUGAAAGCCCUGGGCUUAACCUAGGAAUUGCGCUUGAGACUGGAUAGCUUGGAGUGCGGCAGAGGGAGGUGGAAUUCCACGUGUAGCAGUGAAAAUGCGUAGAGAUGUGGAGGAACACCGAUGGCGAAGGGCAGCCUCCUGGGCCAGCACUGACGCUCAUGCACGAAAGCGUGGGGAGCAAACAGG